CACGGCCUUCUCUGCGGCCUCAGCUUCGGUCCAGAGAGGACCCGGCGCCGAACACUGACGGGCCUAGGUGUCGGGAAAAUGAUCCACAGUCUAUUUCUCAUAAACUGUUCCGGUGACAUAUUUCUAGAGAAACACUGGAAGAGCGUCGUGAGCCAGUCUGUCUGUGAUUAUUUCUUUGAAGCUCAGGAGAAAGCUGCUGAUGUUGAAAAUGUACCACCUGUCAUUUCAACACCUCACCACUACCUCAUCAGUAUCUACCGGGAUAAGCUCUUCUUUGUGUCUGUCAUACAGACUGAAGUGCCACCUCUCUUUGUAAUUGAGUUCCUACAUCGAGUUGCUGAUACUUUUCAGGACUACUUUGGUGAAUGCUCAGAGGCUGCAAUUAAGGAUAAUGUGGUCAUAGUAUACGAGCUCUUGGAAGAAAUGUUAGAUAAUGGAUUUCCCCUGGCUACUGAAUCUAAUAUUUUGAAAGAACUGAUUAAACCACCAACAAUUCUACGUUCUGUCGUCAACUCUAUUACAGGCAGUAGUAAUGUUGGGGACACACUCCCCACUGGUCAGCUGUCCAACAUCCCAUGGCGCCGGGCAGGGGUAAAGUACACAAACAACGAAGCCUAUUUUGAUGUCGUUGAAGAAAUAGAUGCAAUUAUAGAUAAAUCAGGAGCUACAGUCUUUGCAGAGAUUCAGGGGGUCAUUGAUGCUUGCAUUAAGCUCUCUGGAAUGCCUGAUCUCUCCCUUUCUUUCAUGAACCCAAGGCUUCUGGAUGAUGUCAGCUUCCACCCCUGCAUCCGGUUCAAGCGUUGGGAGUCUGAAAGAGUUUUGUCAUUUAUUCCUCCAGAUGGAAAUUUCCGACUCAUAUCAUACCGUGUCAGUUCACAAAAUCUAGUGGCAAUACCAGUGUAUGUGAAACAUAGUAUCAGCUUUAAGGAGAACAGUUCUGCUGGCAGAUUUGAUAUAACAAUUGGACCAAAGCAGAAUAUGGGAAAAACUAUUGAAGGAAUUACAGUGACAGUUCACAUGCCAAAAGUUGUGCUGAAUAUGAACCUGACACCAACACAAGGCAGCUAUACAUUUGAUCCAGUCACCAAGGUACUAACAUGGGAUGUGGGAAAAAUUACUCCACAAAAGCUCCCAAGUCUUAAAGGGCUGGUAAAUCUACAGUCUGGAGCACCCAAGCCAGAAGAGAAUCCAAGCCUCAACAUACAGUUCAAGAUCCAGCAACUUGCAAUUUCAGGUUUAAAAGUAAACCGCUUGGACAUGUACGGGGAGAAAUAUAAGCCAUUUAAAGGAGUCAAAUACGUCACAAAAGCUGGAAAGUUCCAAGUGAGGACAUGAGAAGAGGCCAAAAUUCCUCAAGAUCAGUUUGUUUUCCAAGCGUCAUUAUAAGUUAUUACUAUUAGAAUCCAUAAUCUCAACUAUCCAUACCUGGGCUGUCCAGUUUUCCUCCUGUGCUAUCUUCUCUUACAUCCAAGAGUCCCAUCUAGCAACUUCUGCUAAAACAUCCAAGUAGACUGUUUCCUUUUACAAUUAAAUUAUUGUAUUUAUUAAUUUGAUAGAAUCAAGUAAAUCCUUUUUCUGACUCUCGCUAUACUGUCAAUAAAAUGAUAAAAGCAACGAGUUGAUUUUUCUUUUAGCUUGACUAUUUAUUAGAACAUUCUUAGAUGUGCAAGGCUCAGUGUCAGAGCAGGCUGAACAUGAUCAGAUUUUCUUCUGUAUCAUUACACAAAAUGUGAGGGUUGCUACAAAGCACUUCUAAGUGCUCCUCUCCUAACCUCAGUAUGUUAACAGUCAUUCAUACUUUCUUUAAGCAUCACUCUUCUGUCUACAGACUGAGCAAUAAGUGAUCAAAGCCACCUUCUCUACCACCACUGCCACCACCUACCAAUAACAGAGAUCAUGAAUACUUAGUAGGAGUAGAAUAUUUUUCAAACACAGAGUUCCAGCUAAUCCCAGAAUAUUCCUUUUCUAAAUUCUUAAGGGAAUAUAUCCCAAAAGCAAAUUAAGUAGAUGCUUAUUUUCUGCAUGAGGGAGUCACCAUCAGUCAUUUUGUUCAAAGUGAAUUCAUCUGAUGGAUUUACUCAAGUGGUACUACAGAAGAACCUUUGGAAGAUGCUGGUCUUAGUGUCCUUUAGAGGCAAAUGAUUUGAGAAAAUGACUGUAAUGCAGCAGAAGGACAGCACGAGUGAAUAUAAGGUGAACAGCAGAAAUGAGACAGUUUUAGAGACUGCUGAGCUGAUUCAGUAGUCUUGGACAUUUCCCUUGAACUCUUAUCAGGCUGUAAUCUACCUCUAUAGUUGGCAACUCUUCUAAGUUAAAGCAGUGAUAAAUGCAGUAAGCAACGCUAAAUAUUGCCCUUAAAUGAUACUUACUCCUUUCAGAUCCAAAAAAUCAGGCAAAAACAUGUCUCAACUUUACUCCAAGAACCUGUUCCUACUAUUUUAGUCAGUGCUUAUUCAAGCAAGAAAAGGAAUAUGUCCCCAAAAACUAGCCUCACAGCCCUGGUGGAUUCCUGACAACCCUUCUAUUCUACACUGUGCUUUGGAAUAUAACACGGAUCUGUGGUACUCUGGCACAUUCAACUUCAGCUUUUUAGGGAUCAUGAAUAACCAGACUCUUCUAAGAUGAGAACAGACGACUCCGGUCAGUGACCCACAUCAUCUGGCUGCUUCCUGCCCACGGUUAACCUUUGCCACUUCCACUCCUCCUAGAGUAUGAGUUGUCCUGUAUCACUCAGAUCCUUAUUAAAUAAACACACUACUGCUGAUUUCUACUU